GUGAAUUUUAGGGCGUGCUUUCGAGCAGCCUGACCUCCACUUUUCAACUCUGUGCACCCAUGAGGCUAUUUCGAGGAUCUUGGCAGUAAUGCUAUUUGACUCUUCUUAGUCUUUUUCUUACUUUAAACAUGAGUCAAAGAAUGUAACAAAAACCAUAACAAAAAA
rnacentral:misc_RNA from 1 species